UACCAGCACCCCGAGUGGUCGGGACGUUUAUUGGGCCUAAAGCGUCCGUAGCCGGUUCUACAAGUCUUCCGUUAGAUCCAACUGCUUAACAGGUGGGCUGCGGAAGAUACUAUAGAGCUAGGAGGCGGGAGAGGCAAGCGGUACUCGAUGGGUAGGGGUAAAAUCCGUUGAUCCAUUGAAGACCACCAGUGGCGAAGGCGGCUUGCCAGAACGCGCUCGACGGUGAGGGAUGAAAGCUGGGGGAGCAAACCGG
rnacentral:rRNA from 1 species